rnacentral:pre_miRNA from 1 species
CUAAUACUCCCUCCGUUCCAAAUUAGUUGACUUGGAUUUGUCUAGAUACGGAUAUAUCUAGACAUGUUUUAGUGUUAGAUAUAUCCGUAUCUAGAUAAAUCCAAGUCAACUAAUUUGGAACGGAGGGAGUAUAUG